rnacentral:rRNA from 1 species
GGAGUCUAGCAUGUGCGCGAGUCAUUGGGACUCGACGAAACCUAAAGGCGCAAUGAAAGUGAAGGUCGGCCUCGCGCCGACCGAGGGAGGAUGGGCCGCGUCACGUCGCGGCCCCGCACUCCCGGGGCGUCUCGUUCUCAUCGCGAGAAGAGGCGCACCCAGAGCGUACACGCUGGGACCCGAAAGAUGGUGAACUAUGCCUGGUCAGGACGAAGUCAGGGGAAACCCUGAUGGAGGUCCGAAGCGAUUCUGACGUGCAAAUCGAUCGUCGGAACUGGGUAUAGGGGCGAAAGACUAAUCGAACCAUCUAGUAGCUGGUUCCCUCCGAAGUUUCCCUCAGGAUAGCUGGCGCUCGCUUUUGCGAGUCUCAUCUGGUAAAGCGAAUGAUUAGAGGCAUUGGGGUCGAAACGGCCUCAACCUAUUCUCAAACUUUAAAUGGGUGAGAUCUCCGGCUUGCUUGAACGGUGAAGCCGCGAGAUCGGAUCAGAGUGCCAAGUGGGCCAUUUUUGGUAAGCAGAACUGGCGCUGUGGGAUGAACCAAACGCAGAGUUAAAGCUCCCAAAUCGACGCUUAUGGGAUACCAUGAAAGGCGUUGGUAACUUAAGACAGCAGGACGGUGGCCAUGGAA